AGAGUUUGAUCCUGGCUCAGGAUGAACGCUGGCGGCGUGCUUAACACAUGCAAGUCGAACGGACGCUUGGGGCAACUUGAGCGUUAGUGGCAAACGGGUGAGUAACACGUGGGUGACCUACCUCAGAGUGGGGAACAACGGACCGAAAGGUUCGCUAAUACCGCAUUCGCUCGAUGAUUCAGUUUGUCGAGUAAAGCCCCCUUCGGGAGGCGCUUUGAGAGGGACCCGCGUCCCAUCAGGUAGUUGGUGAGGUAAUGGCCCACCAAGCCGAUGACGGGUAGCUGGUCUGAGAGGACGAUCAGCCACAAUGGAACUGAGACACGGUCCAUACUCCUACGGGAGGCAGCAGUGAGGAAUAUUGCGCAAUGGGCGAAAGCCUGACGCAGCGACGCCGCGUGGGUGACGAAGGCCUUCGGGUCGUAAAACCCUUUUAGCAGGGACGAGUGAGGACGGUACCUGCGGAAUAAGUCUCGGCUAACUACGUGCCAGCAGCCGCGGUAAAACGUAGGAGGCGAGCGUUAUCCGGAUUUACUGGGCGUAAAGCGCGCGUAGGCGGUUGAGUAAGUCAGAUGUUAAAGCCCUUGGCUCAACUAGGGGAGGUCAUUUGAUACUGCUCGGCUUGAGGGUGAUAGAGGAGAGUGGAAUUCCCGGUGUAGCGGUGGAAUGCGUAGAGAUCGGGAGGAACACCAGUGGCGAAAGCGGCUCUCUGGCUCACCCCUGACGCUGAGUGCGCGAAAGCGUGGGGAGCAAACAGGAUUAGAUACCCUGGUAGUCC
rnacentral:rRNA from 1 species